GCUUGGCCCUAAACCUCAGUAGUUAGAUAACAAAACUACUCGCCAGAAUACUACAAGCUAUAGCUUAAAACUCAAAGGACUUGACGGUGCUUUACACCCCCUAGAGGAGCCUGUUCCGUAAUCGAUAAACCCCGAUCCACCCCACCCUCUCUUGCUCAGCCUAUAUACCGCCAUCUUCAGCAAACCCUAAUGAGGGUCACAAAGUGAGCGCAAAUGCCAUUCCGCAAACACGUUAGGUCAAGGUGUAGCCUAUGAGACGGUAAAAAAUGGGCUACAUUUUCUACCUCAGAAAAUCCACGAAAACCCUUAUGAAAUUUAAGGGUCCAAGGAGGAUUUAGCAGUAAAUUAAGAAUAGAGUGCUUAAUUGUACCAGGCCAUAAAGCGCG
rnacentral:rRNA from 1 species